rnacentral:rRNA from 1 species
GUUAAGCGACUAAGCGUACACGGUGGAUGCCCUGGCAGUCAGAGGCGAUGAAGGACGUGCUAAUCUGCGAUAAGCGUCGGUAAGGUGAUAUGAACCGUUAUAACCGGCGAUUUCCGAAUGGGGAAACCCAGUGUGAUUCGUCACACUAUCAUUAACUGAAUCCAUAGGUUAAUGAGGCGAACCGGGGGAACUGAAACAUCUAAGUACCCCGAGGAAAAGAAAUCAACCGAGAUUCCCCCAGUAGCGGCGAGCGAACGGGGAGCAGCCCAGAGCCUGAAUCAGUGUGUGUGUUAGUGGAAGCGUCUGGAAAGGCGCGCGAUACAGGGUGACAGCCCCGUACACAAAAAUGCACAUACUGUGAGCUCGAUGAGUAGGGCGGGACACGUGGUAUCCUGUCUGAAUAUGGGGGGACCAUCCUCCAAGGCUAAAUACUCCUGACUGACCGAUAGUGAACCAGUACCGUGAGGGAAAGGCGAAAAGAACCCCGGCGAGGGGAGUGAAAAAGAACCUGAAACCGUGUACGUACAAGCAGUGGGAGCCUCUUUUAUGGGGUGACUGCGUACCUUUUGUAUAAUGGGUCAGCGACUUAUAUUCUGUAGCAAGGUUAACCGAAUAGGGGAGCCGAAGGGAAACCGAGUCUUAACUGGGCGUUAAGUUGCAGGGUAUAGACCCGAAACCCGGUGAUCUAGCCAUGGGCAGGUUGAAGGUUGGGUAACACUAACUGGAGGACCGAACCGACUAAUGUUGAAAAAUUAGCGGAUGACUUGUGGCUGGGGGUGAAAGGCCAAUCAAACCGGGAGAUAGCUGGUUCUCCCCGAAAGCUAUUUAGGUAGCGCCUCGUGAAUUCAUCUCCGGGGGUAGAGCACUGUUUCGGCAAGGGGGUCAUCCCGACUUACCAACCCGAUGCAAACUGCGAAUACCGGAGAAUGUUAUCACGGGAGACACACGGCGGGUGCUAACGUCCGUCGUGAAGAGGGAAACAACCCAGACCGCCAGCUAAGGUCCCAAAGUCAUGGUUAAGUGGGAAACGAUGUGGGAAGGCCCAGACAGCCAGGAUGUUGGCUUAGAAGCAGCCAUCAUUUAAAGAAAGCGUAAUAGCUCACUGGUCGAGUCGGCCUGCGCGGAAGAUGUAACGGGGCUAAACCAUGCACCGAAGCUGCGGCAGCGACACUAUGUGUUGUUGGGUAGGGGAGCGUUCUGUAAGCCUGUGAAGGUGUACUGUGAGGUAUGCUGGAGGUAUCAGAAGUGCGAAUGCUGACAUAAGUAACGAUAAAGCGGGUGAAAAGCCCGCUCGCCGGAAGACCAAGGGUUCCUGUCCAACGUUAAUCGGGGCAGGGUGAGUCGACCCCUAAGGCGAGGCCGAAAGGCGUAGUCGAUGGGAAACAGGUUAAUAUUCCUGUACUUGGUGUUACUGCGAAGGGGGGACGGAGAAGGCUAUGUUGGCCGGGCGACGGUUGUCCCGGUUUAAGCGUGUAGGCUGGUUUUCCAGGCAAAUCCGGAAAAUCAAGGCUGAGGCGUGAUGACGAGGCACUACGGUGCUGAAGCAACAAAUGCCCUGCUUCCAGGAAAAGCCUCUAAGCAUCAGGUAACAUCAAAUCGUACCCCAAACCGACACAGGUGGUCAGGUAGAGAAUACCAAGGCGCUUGAGAGAACUCGGGUGAAGGAACUAGGCAAAAUGGUGCCGUAACUUCGGGAGAAGGCACGCUGAUAUGUAGGUGAAGUCCCUCGCGGAUGGAGCUGAAAUCAGUCGAAGAUACCAGCUGGCUGCAACUGUUUAUUAAAAACACAGCACUGUGCAAACACGAAAGUGGACGUAUACGGUGUGACGCCUGCCCGGUGCCGGAAGGUUAAUUGAUGGGGUUAGCGGUAACGCGAAGCUCUUGAUCGAAGCCCCGGUAAACGGCGGCCGUAACUAUAACGGUCCUAAGGUAGCGAAAUUCCUUGUCGGGUAAGUUCCGACCUGCACGAAUGGCGUAAUGAUGGCCAGGCUGUCUCCACCCGAGACUCAGUGAAAUUGAACUCGCUGUGAAGAUGCAGUGUACCCGCGGCAAGACGGAAAGACCCCGUGAACCUUUACUAUAGCUUGACACUGAACAUUGAGCCUUGAUGUGUAGGAUAGGUGGGAGGCUUUGAAGUGUGGACGCCAGUCUGCAUGGAGCCGGCCUUGAAAUACCACCCUUUAAUGUUUGAUGUUCUAACGUUGGCCCCUGAUCGGGGUUGCGGACAGUGUCUGGUGGGUAGUUUGACUGGGGCGGUCUCCUCCUAAAGAGUAACGGAGGAGCACGAAGGUUGGCUAAUCCUGGUCGGACAUCAGGAGGUUAGUGCAAUGGCAUAAGCCAGCUUGACUGCGAGCGUGACGGCGCGAGCAGGUGCGAAAGCAGGUCAUAGUGAUCCGGUGGUUCUGAAUGGAAGGGCCAUCGCUCAACGGAUAAAAGGUACUCCGGGGAUAACAGGCUGAUACCGCCCAAGAGUUCAUAUCGACGGCGGUGUUUGGCACCUCGAUGUCGGCUCAUCACAUCCUGGGGCUGAAGUAGGUCCCAAGGGUAUGGCUGUUCGCCAUUUAAAGUGGUACGCGAGCUGGGUUUAGAACGUCGUGAGACAGUUCGGUCCCUAUCUGCCGUGGGCGCUGGAGAACUGAGGGGGGCUGCUCCUAGUACGAGAGGACCGGAGUGGACGCAUCACUGGUGUUCGGGUUGUCAUGCCAAUGGCACUGCCCGGUAGCUAAAUGCGGAAGAGAUAAGUGCUGAAAGCAUCUAAGCACGAAACUUGCCCCGAGAUGAGUUCUCCCUGACUCCUUGAGAGUCCUGAAGGAACGUUGAAGACGACGACGUUGAUAGGCCGGGUGUGUAAGCGCAGCGAUGCGUUGAGCUAACCGGUACUAAUGAACCGUGAGGCUUAACC